CCCAGCCUCCUUCACCUUCACCUUCCUUCAUCAUCAGCGUCAGAUCUGAGUCCUGCGGUUCUAAAUAGCACCCCAGGCCUCAGCAAGUGGAGGGACCUCCCACUAGAGGGCGCGACGGUCCCGCCGGUUCCUUGCCAGGUGGCUCCAGCUGCGGCGGACAUCAGAGCAUCUCCCAGGGACUAGAAGUUCAGACUAAUGAGAUUGAGAAAAGAGCAUUUCCACAUUUGCAAGGCGCCUGUGCUGCUCCGGAGGUCCCCAUUACUCUGUCCAGAAUCCUUUAUUGCUUCCUGGUCCCCGAGGGCCUGCUGGAACCAGAAUGCGAGAAGGGCUCUGCGCGGUUGGCCUUCCUGGACUCACAGCUUCCCUGUGAAGAACCUAGCGGGCUCUGCAACGCCCUGGUCACCCUUUCAGAGUGUUUGAGAGCUUAUAUGGGAUAUGUUUAAGCUGAGACAGGUCCCCAGCCACCCACAGCACGGGUAAGGGAGCAUGGGCAGGGGACCCUCGGGGCAAGUGUUCCAGGCCAUGCCCAGCCUCAGAGGGCCCUGAGGCUGGCGAGGGCAGCGUGCUCAGAGGAGAUGGAGGCCAGUGCGGCUGGAGCUGGGGGGACGGCGAGUGGGGGCCACCACCUCCCCAAACUUCUCCAUUAAGUAGCUGUGGGCAGAGACUGUUCCUCCCCGAGGCUGGAGGAGGGAAAGAAUGGGGGUGCCUCUCGGAUUUUUACCCACUCCUACCUGGGGGCAGGGUUGCUGCUGCCUCCCGGCUAACCACCUGUGGGAAAGUAGACAGAUCCUCCCCAGCAACCAGCCACUCCUCCUUUUCCUCCUAGCCAACUGUCACAGGUGUGUGAACCGCAGCAACUCCAUCUUGAAUAGGGGCUGGGUAAAAUGAGGCUGAGACCUAACUGGGCUGCAUUCCCAGAUGGUUAAGGCAUUCUGAGUCACGGGAUGAGAUAGGAGAUCAGCACAAGAUACAAGUUGUUCAAGACCUUGAUUAUAAAACAGGUUGCAGUAAAGGAACCAGCCAAAACCCACAAAACCAAGAUGGUGACAAGAGUGACCUCUGGUUGUCCUCACUGCUGUACACCCACGAGCGCCAUGACAGUUUACAAAUGCCAUGGCAAUGACAGGAAGUUACUCUGUAUGGUCUAAAAAGGGGAGGCAUGAAUAAUCCACCCUUUGUUUGGCACAUAAUCAAGAAAUAACCAUAAAAAUGGGCAACCAGCAGCCCCCAGGGCUGCUCUGCCUAUGGAAUAGCCAUUCUUUUAUUUUUUUACUUUCCCAAUAAACUUGCUC
rnacentral:lncRNA from 1 species